CGGUUCCACUCAAAGAAAUCAAAUUGAAGAGUCUGAGGAGGAAUGACAUUUUAUCUGCAUAUAGAAGGAGGAAACACAGUUUAUGAGCAUUAUUCAGACCAUUUACAUAAACCCUAUCUUCUACAUGGAUUAGUUAUACAGUCUUACCAAGUCUUACCAACUUCAAUAGUGCUAGUCACUAGUCACUAGUCACUACCACCACAUGGCCUAGAAUGUUUCAACCCACAGAAACAAGGUCACUCAGAAGCAAAUGUUUUGAAGACGUAAAGCUCAACUUAAUCAGAAUCAGAUGAUGAU
rnacentral:lncRNA from 1 species